UUCAUUGGCACAGGGGGAAAUUUUCUGAGAACACUAAAGGCUUGUGUUCUAAUAUCAACAAUCAAUAAAUGGGAAUAUCAUGAAACUGAAAACUUUCAGUAUGGCAAAAGAGAGUAUCAAUAGACAUAUUGGAAAACAUACAUAUUGGAAAAGAAUCUUCACUAAGCCUAUGUCAGACAAGAGGAUAAUAUCAAAAAUACAUAAAACACUUAAGAUGUUGACCUCCAAAAAAAAAAAGGCAAAGUAGGAUGUAUGGAACUUCCCAAGAGACACAGAACUUAUAGGUAUACUCUAUAUACUAAGGGAAUUUUUGAUGACUUAAUUCUGUAACUCAACUCCUCACCAAUGACCAGCAGCAGUGGCGCAGUCCCACAAGGCAGGCAGGCGAAGAGAAAGAGUCUUCCUUCUUCCAACGACCUUAUGUAUGUCUCCAGCAGGAGGUGUGUCCCAGAUCAAAGGUAUGUACCACCAUCAUACCUGGAUCAGAGACUUGCUUUGUGCCAGAUGAUCUUGAAUGCAGAGAUCUCCUUUCCUUAGUCUCCUGGGAUUCAUAGCCACAAUGCCACAAUGUCUUCAUGCCAAGAUCCAGAAACUUUGCAGUUUUUUGACGUCCAAUUUUUUGAUUCUUGAUCAUAAAGUUGCCUCAGAAGAGCAGCAUUUGCAGUUUGCAGCUUUUUAAAAGACUGAACAGAGAGGCAGUUAUUCUAAAACAAAUAUACUCAAUUGUAAAUAUGAAGGAAGGAAAAGAGUAAUUGUGUCGUAUGUAGGAUGCUCUGAAAAUAAAAUGAAAGAAUGUGUACUGAAAUUAUUGCUUGAAAUAUUUACCCAAGUCAGAAAAAAAGAUAAAUCUAAAUUGAAUAUGAAGCAUUUUGAAGAACCAUUGUCAAUUUUUUUCAGCAGCAGUAUGUCGCCCUCAUGAGAAAAUAGGCAUGACUAUUUUUCUCCCACGCUGGACUCGUCUUCCUGUAGUGUAGGUUAAUGCAUACUACUUUUAUUAAGGGGAAGUAUGACCAGUGUCUUCCUUGUAUCCCACUGACUUUUAUCAUGAAGGGAUGUUGGAUUAUGUCAAAGGACUUUUUUGCAUCUAAUGAGAAGUUCGCGUGGUUUUGGCUAUCCAUCUGUUUCUAGAAUAUUUGAGGAGUAUUGUGCUAAAUCUUCUUUGAAAAUAUGGUAAAAUUCUGUGUCUAAUCCACGUGGCCCAUGAGAUUUUUGGGGCAUAUUUUACCAAAUGUGAUGAUCCUGUGUAUAUAUGUGAAAACCAGAAGAUGUCAUUGUUUUGGACUAAGGACAUGGACCUUGGAUAAUAAUCCUGCUCUUGCAUCAAAUUCCCUAGCAGCCAAAUUAGGUCAAAACCCUGUUGCUUCAAUCUGAAGUUCUCUUGCUCCUGACAUUUCCAGUCUCUGUAUUUGACAGUAACAAACAUCGAUACGGUGAAUGACAUAAUCAGAAGUUCCUACCAGUGGUGAGAAAACAUAACAUUGAAGAUUAUCAGCUGUGGUUCUGUCCUGGCCAUGGGAAAGUUCCAAGAGCACUCCAAGGGCAUGAGUGUCCACAUGAUAUUCUGAUGAUAAAUGUUCCAAAGAACUUCAGUCCACAAGAAUUAAGACAUCUUACAAUGAUAAUUCCCUACUUCAUCUGUUCAAGAUAUAUCUAAAAUCUGAUGCGCAGGGGCAAUUCAUCUUAAAGUCCAGAGACUUAGCAGGAAGCCAGCAGCAAAAAAUAUAAAGAGAAAACGUCUUAAGAAACAAAGAACUUCUAUAACAUCGUGGUGGUACAGGGUCUCUGUGCCCCACCCGGACAAAGUAUGCACCAUCCCAAGAGUUAAUGAGGGAGAAAAACUGUUUGGAAGAGAACUUAUUUCCAUUUAUCAUGAUGGCAACCUGCCAUCGGCAGGUUCUCGGCAAUUCUGGUAUGUAUCACAUGGUUCUUCUCUGGCUCUCUUAAGACAAAUUCCUGCUUCACAAAUACCUGACCCCUUCACUUCUAUCACAAUGUGGAGUAAAAACUGUGUCUCAAAUCAUUGGUUUUUCAAUAGGAAGAUGAGAGUGGGCUAUUCAGGAACUGUCUAUUGGAAAAGUUGGAUUUAAUCUGAUAAAAAGAAAUGUUACCUGAUCUUAAAGGGUUACCAUUAGGGUAGGAUUUGUACAAAAAUAGACUGAGGCACAAAACUAGCUUGAGGUCCUCUGUGUUCAUGCCAGUCUUUGCACGGCACCUGUGCCCACCAUUGGUCUUUUUCUCAAGGAGACAAUCAUGCCCGGUGCUGCAUGAAGCCUGACAGGUGUUUCCCUAUCUUCUUCUCAGGACAUGCUGUUCCUACUAAAAAGGAAAGGGUAUACCCACAAUCAAGGGUACGUUUACAGUAUCUCUGAGUGUAACCUUGUGCCAAACAGAAAAGGACAAAUUGGAUUCAGAAGAAGAGAUAACCAAACAAUCUGUUUAUGUAGUGGCAUGCAUCUUUAAGGUAGGGAAAGUCCUUCCAUCAUCCAUCCUCAGGAUUUCUCUGAGUCUAUGGGAGUAGUGUUCUUCCUUUUGCAUUCCCUUGAGUGACAGUAAAUAGGUAUGAGAUAAAUCUGGUAAGCUCAAAUCUCCACUGUUAGUGUUAAUAACUUGAAUGAUGUUUUGCUUAGGAAUUUUUUAAGCAAUGCUAUUCUUGGGCUAUCAAAGGUGAACCCUACCCUCAUUUCUCGGAGACCCAAUCUCAAAGCAAAUGUUACUAUACUCCGGUGUACAAUCUUUCUGAUUCUCUUUACACCUGUUUGGAGACCACAGUUCGGGACUUAGUAUGUGUAUGUACAAACUGAGGCUCAGUGUCACAAGGUAUUUUUUUCUUUGGAACUUGAAUAGCUGUAGUUUUUAAUAGUAGUCUCCAUCCAUUGCAAAGAGAACAUUUUUGAUGGGUCAGGGCUAUAUUAUCUGUGAAUAUUAAGUUAAAUAUUUAUAAUAGAGUUAGGAGUCACACUUGUUUAGUGAAAUAGGGGCAGGACGUUCUCUAAGAACCAGACCACAUGUGCCUCCAUGCUUCCAGUACCAGACAUGGCUUUGUGCUCCUGAGAAAUCAGAUAAGAGUUCCUAUGGUUGUCUUUGUUGUGGUUACCAUAAUGGUAUGUUUCUAUCAUUUAAAAAGCGUAUUUAAGCUGAAGUAUUGAUCACGUAUAUGUGUUAGUUUGCUCAGCCGUCCACUAGCGGAAUGCUGAUCUAAGAAAAGGUUUUUCUAUAGUCAAAAUAAAUCUGAAAAUCUACGCUUUGAUUUCUGGUUUAAAUUGAUGAAACUUACUGGACAUAUAUUUCAGGGAAUGUUCUACUUAGGGGAAAUUUUGGGAGCUGUGAAGAAAAUUGGAACUAAACUGAAAUUUACAGAAGAAUGUACUUUGAACAAUUUUCAUGAUUAAAUUUUUCCACAAAAUAUUUUUCCUCCCUUUAUAAGAACUUCCUACAAAACAUUGAAGGAAUUCUGAUGACUUCAGAACUCUAUGAUGAGUGGAUUGUUGUAACCAAAAAGGUCAAUGACUACGAGAAAUUAGACACAGUGCAGAGGUAAUUGUUGGCAAACUGUGUGAACAACAUCAACAAAAUAGAAGUAGUAUUUGCUUACACACACUAGAAAUAAUAUAUCACAGAAAUAUUUACUAAAAACAUUGACAGGUAGCAAAAGGUUUCAAUUGUUCACAAACACACAAGACACUUUCAAAAGAGAAGUGUGAGUUACAGUGGGAAUUAGAGUAGCCCUGGCUUAUUAUCCUACUGCCACAUUCCAAUUAGAUUUGUCUUUUUUUCUGAAUUGGAUAAAUAUUUCAAGUAAUAAUUUGAGUAAAAAUUCUUUCAUUUUAUUUUCAGAGCAUCCAGCAAUCGAUCCAAUUACUCUGUUCCUUUCAUUCAUAUUUAGAAAUUGAGUAUACUUGUUUCAAAAUAACUGUCUCUGUGUUCAGUCUUUUAGAAAAACUGUCAACUGCAAAUGCUGCUAUUCUGAGGCAACCUUUUCGAAUAUUAUAUGAAAUUAAAAGUAAUUCUUCUGUUAAUGAAAUGUCUUCUUACCAUCUAUCUGUUUGGAUAGCCCCAUGUCUCUCAUUCAUGCCCAGCUCUUCCAAUAAUGGAGGGACAAAUGAUAUUGCCAAAAAGAUUCAGAGAAACAUGAAGGCAAUGUAUAUACCAACCCACCAGUACCUUCUCAAAAUCCACCACAACCAACAAAGAAAUGUUUGUUUGGGAAAUCUCUUAUGAGUAUUUUUGAAGACAAAAAGUUGCCUGGUUCAAUAUUU
rnacentral:sRNA from 1 species